rnacentral:tRNA from 1 species
AGUAGAGUAGCUCAGGGGAAAGAGCAUGAACUUGGGAGUCAGAGGUCAUGGGUUCUAGUCCCCUCUCUGCCG